rnacentral:SRP_RNA from 1 species
GCCGGGUGUGGUAGCGCGUGCCAGUAGUCCCAGCUAUUCGGGAGGCUGAGGCUGGAGGAUUGCUUGAGUUCAGGAGUUCUGGGCUGUAGUGCACUAUGCCGAUUGGGUGUCCGCACGAAGUUCAGCAUCAAUAUGGUGACCUACCGGGAGCAGGGGACCACCAGGUUGCCUGAGGAGGGGUGAACUGGCCCAGGUCGGAAAUGGAGCAGGUCAAAACUCCCAUGCUGAUGAGUAGUGGGAUAGUGCCUGUGAAUAGCCACUGCACUCCAGCCUGGGCAAUCUAGCGAGACCCUGUCUCU